rnacentral:antisense_RNA from 1 species
CUUGAUCGAGCCCAGCCACAGCGGAUCGUCGCGGUCCUGGCCGUACGUGGCCAGCAAUGCUUGCGCCUC